rnacentral:rRNA from 1 species
AGAACGAACGCUGGCGGCAGGCCUAACACAUGCAAGUCGAACGCCCGUAGCAAUACGGGAGUGGCAGACGGGUGAGUAACGCGUGGGAACGUACCUUUCGGUUCGGAAUAACCCGGGGGAAACUCGGGCUAAUACCGGAUACGUCCGCAAGGAGAAAGAUUUAUCGCCGAAAGAUCGGCCCGCGUCGGAUUAGCUAGUUGGUGAGGUAACGGCCCACCAAGGCGACGAUCCGUAGCUGGUCUGAGAGGAUGAUCAGCCACACUGGGACUGAGACACGGCCCAGACUCCUACGGGAGGCAGCAGUGGGGAAUAUGGACAAUGGGCGAAAGCCUGAUCCAGCCAUGCCGCGUGAGUGAAGAAGGCCGUUAGGUUGUAAAGCUCUUCAGGCGGGAAGAUAAUGACGGUACCCGACAGAAGAAGUCCCGGAUAACUCGUGCCAGCAGCCGC